UACGAAGGGUGCAACCGUUGCUCGGAAUUAUUGGGCGUAAAGCGCACGUAGGCGGCUUUGCAAGUCGGAUGUGAAAUCCCUCGGCUCAACCAAGGAAGUGCAUCCGAAACUGCAGAGCUUGAGUACCAAAGAGGAUCGCGGAAUUCCCGGUGUAGAGGUGAAAUUCGUAGAUAUCGGGAGGAACACCAGUGGCGAAGGCGGCGAUCUGGGUGGAUACUGACGCUGAGGUGCGAAAGCGUGGGGAGCAAACAGG
rnacentral:rRNA from 1 species